rnacentral:lncRNA from 1 species
GGAUUCUACAUCAGCCAUUAGAUCAGAUAGGAACCUCUAAUGUGUGUGACCCUGCAGGUUCGAACCUAAGCCGGUAGCACAGGAACCAAUUCCUGUACUAAUCGAAGUGACCAUCUAGCAAUGGUACCCGACAUCCGGAUAGAUCGAAUAGUCACAAUCGCAACACUCAGAACCAACAUGAAUAUGGUUACUGUAUAAUUUAUCCUUUUGACCCCUGUGUUUAGGAUGACUCAGGGUUAAACUGUCAACCCGGAUCAGAUCAUCCGAAUCGUGCUCAACUCAAACAGUCUUGUGACUCCU